rnacentral:rRNA from 1 species
CCUACAUGAUCUGAGUUUAGACCGAUGAGAAUCAGGNUNGUUUCUAUCUUAAUUUAGAACAAGUUUUAAGUAGUACGAAAGGAAUUUUUAAACUAAUUAANAAUUAAUUAAUCUAACAGUUUUUUGCAUCAAUUUUUGGACUU